GUGGAAGCACUUGGUAGUCUUCCUCAACAGCCUCCCAGAGAUCAUUUGCAUCCAGGUAAGCCUCCAUUCUGAUUGCCCAAACUUGAUAAUUUUCUCCAUUGAACACAGGAGGUGCAAUGGCAUUGAAAGGGCUUUCAGCACUCGAAGCCUCCAUUUUGGUGGAAAAAAUACACUCAAAUUCCUCACAAGUCCCUUAAGAAGAGGGCUCUGAUACCAGUUUGAUGGAGCAAA
rnacentral:misc_RNA from 1 species